rnacentral:rRNA from 1 species
UACGGAGGGUGCGAGCGUUGUCCGGAAUCACUGGGCGUAAAGGGCGCGUAGGCGGCUCGGUAAGCGUGUGGUGAAAGCCUGGGGCUCAACCCCGGGUCGGCCAUGCGAACUGUCGAGCUGGAGCACUGUAGAGGCAGGCGGAAUUCCGGGUGUAGCGGUGGAAUGCGUAGAGAUCCGGAAGAACACCGGUGGCGAAGGCGGCCUGCUGGGCAGUAGCUGACGCUGAGGCGCGACAGCGUGGGGAGCAAACAGG